AUUGAAUGACAGAUUUGAAACCUAAACCCUCAUAAGAUUUGAGAAGACAAACCUUUUCCCAAGCGAUGUGAUGAAAACCCCGAGUAUUAGAAGAAUGCCCCCAUAAAAAGGCCCGAAAUUCCUUUUCCAUUUGAUUCAGGAUGGAUGGAGACAGGAAUGUGAACGGUCCAAGAAAUUCCAGCAAUUGCAUCUUUGGGAAUUUUGGAGUGCAAAGUGCUAUAUUUAUUUUCUGCGGCUUACUUCAAGAUUACCCUCAAGUGCUCUUGGCAUAUGGGAUUACACAACCUUCUACCAUACUUCUACAUCCAUUAUGGUCCAUAAUACAUGGGUUUUUUCAGCACUUUGGGAGGCAUAAAUAUUACAUCAAUCUCUUUAUAUCUGUGCUAUGUAGCACUAAUUUGUAUAUUAUGAAACCUAUGUUUC
rnacentral:lncRNA from 1 species